AGAGUUUGAUCCUGGCUCAGGAUGAACGCUGGCGGCGUGCCUAAUACAUGCAAGUCGAACGCACUGUGGUUCAACUGAUUUGAAGAGCUUGCUCUGAUAUGACGAUGAACAUUGCAGUGAGUGGCGAACGGGUGAGUAACACGUGGGAAACCUACCUCUUAGCGGGGGAUAACAUCUGGAAACAGAUGCUAGUACCGCAUAACACUAGCAACCGCAUGGUUGCUACUUGAAAGAUGGUUCUGCUAUCACUAAGAGAUGGUCCCGCGGCGCAUUAGUUAGUUGGUGAGGUAAUGGCUCACCAAGACGAUGAUGCGUAGCCGAGUUGAGAGACUGAUCGGCCACAAUGGGACUGAGACACGGCCCAUACUCCUACGGGAGGCAGCAGUAGGGAAUCUUCCACAAUGGACGAAAGUCUGAUGGAGCAACGCCGCGUGUGUGAUGAAGGGUUUCGGCUCGUAAAACACUGUUGUAAGAGAAGAAUAGCAUCAAGAGUAACUGCUUGGUGUGUGACGGUAUCUUACCAGAAAGGAACGGCUAAAUACGUGCCAGCAGCCGCGGUAAUACGUAUGUUCCAAGCGUUAUCCGGAUUUAUUGGGCGUAAAGCGAGCGCAGACGGUUUUUUAAGUCCGAAGUGAAAGCUCACAGCUUAACUGUGGAAGUGCUUUGGAAACUGGAUGACUUGAGUGCAGUAGAGGAGAGUGGAAUUUCCAUGUGUAGCGGUGAAAUGCGUAGAUAUAUGGAGGAACACCAGUGGCGAAGCGGCUCUCUGGACUGUAACUGACGUUGAGCUCGAAAGUGUGGGUAGCAAA
rnacentral:rRNA from 1 species